CCGACAGCGGCAGUUGUCAAAACUUGGCUCCUGUUACCAGGUGAAGCCGCCGUGGCAUCGGCAGGCCGUGAAGAGAAGCCGCGGGCUGGCUGAGAGGACAGGCUGAUGGCGAGCGAGGACACGAAGAAGCUCCUCAGGUCCUGUCUUGUCUCCACGAAACGAGGCCUGACAUUGAGACAACUCGCCAUUGACCAAAGAUGGAACGGAAACGCUGGUGGAACACGUACCGGACCAAAGCGUUGCUCACAUUGCUUCUCUUGUGAGUCGACAGAAGAGCAAACAAAAACCGAAGGCCGGACUGAAGAUAAAGAACAUAAACAUCAAGAAGCACUCUGGAGCAGCUCAGCCGAAAGGUGCCGGUCGGUUGGAGGUCAAGC